GGGGCUGACCGGUUUUGACAGGAGGUGUAAGGACUGGGCUCGCAUGUCGGGUGGAGUAUGUACGCCCGCAAAUAAUUCAUACAAACCAUAGCUGGCGAAUCUAAUUACGCCAUGGCUGCAUAAUUUAACCCUUCGGGGAUUAGAUAACGCUUAAAAGGUUGAGUUUCGAUAGAAAUUCCCUGGCCACAUCCCGCGACCCUUCGUUCUGUUGGGGUUGAUUCUGGGGUGUCGAUAAGACAGAACUAGUGCCUGGGACGCUACUAGACAGGUGCGAAAUUCAGUGGAUAAGCUUCACAUGGGUGUGUCAUCCAGCAGUGUGGAGUCGAAAACCCAACAGGUGACUAAACAUGUAGACGGUACAGUGUUUCCCUAUCUGGACGCGAGUUCGAAUCUCGCCAGCUCCACAA
rnacentral:tmRNA from 3 species